GAUGAAGAACGUAGCGAAAUGCGAUACUUGGUGUGAAUUGCAGAAUCCCGUGAACCAUCGAGUCUUUGAACGCAAGUUGCGCCCGAAGCCAUUAGGCCGAGGGCACGCCUGCCUGGGCGUCACACGUCGUUGCCCCCCCAUCUACUCCUUCGGGAUUGCGGGGGCGGAUGAUGGCCUCCCGUGCGCCUCGCCGCGCGGUUGGCAUAAAUGCCAAGUCCUCGGCGACGCACGCCACGACAAUCGGUGGUUGCGAAACCUCGGUUGCCCGUCGUGUGCGGUCGUCGCGCAUCGAGGGCUCGAAAAAAUUGCCGGGUUCCGGCUCGGCUUUCAACGCGACCCCAGGUCAGGCGGGGUUACCCGCUGAAUUUAAGCAUAUCAAUAAGCGGAGGA
rnacentral:misc_RNA from 1 species